rnacentral:rRNA from 1 species
AUGAAUUCCAAAGACAGGUGCCUUAGCCUAGCCAUGAACGGGAAGCUAUCGCUGCUUUGUAUGUCACGGAUACCUCCCGGACUAAAUAUAUGGGAGCAACAAGAGAAUCAAGAAAAAAUGAACUAUGUGUCACAAUGGUUAUGCACUAAGACAAUCAAGUUAAAACAACCCAAGAAGGAGACUGACAGGACAGAGCUAUGUUCUUUGAGAGAGAAGUGUGGUACAUUGCUUAUUGGUGACAACGACAACCGUGUUUUCACUGCAGACCUCGAAACAGGAACAAUGGAGGAGGUGGAGGGUUGGCCUCGCCAGCACCUAAUGUUCCCAUGGGAGGCCAUUGCCUUGGAGAUUAAUUGGCCUGGGAUAUUUGUUUCUCGGCUUACCAGGUACAGCUAG